GACGUAGGGCGCGAGCGUUGUCCGGAUUUAUUGGGCGUAAAGAGCUCGUAGGCGGCUUGUCGCGUCGACUGUGAAAUCCCGCGGCUCAACUGCGGGUCUGCAGUCGAUACGGGCAGACUUGAGUUCGGCAGGGGAGACUGGAAUUCCUGGUGUAGCGGUGAAAUGCGCAGAUAUCAGGAGGAACACCGGUGGCGAAGGCGGGUCUCUGGGCCGAUACUGACGCUGAGGAGCGAAAGCGUGGGGAGCGAACAGG
rnacentral:rRNA from 1 species